rnacentral:lncRNA from 1 species
AUAAGACAUACCCUAGACUGGAAAGAAAAAGAUGUUUAAUUAGACUUACAAUUCCAAAUGGCUGGGGAGGCCUCAGAAUCAUGGUGGGAGGUGAAAGGCACUUCUUACAUGGCGGUGAAAAAAGAAAAAAUGAUGAAAAAGCAAAAGCGGAAACCCCUGAUAAACCCAUCAUAUCUCAUGAGACUUACUGAUUUUCUUGCAGUGUUUGCAAGUCCAUUCUCCACGUGUAGGUUUUCCUAUUUCCUUCUAUAGCUCAGGAUGCUAUAAAAACUUUGACCAUCCGCCCCUUCUUUGAAUCUUAUAAUUUGUGAGGCUCCCACGUGCAUGCACAUAAUAAAACUGUAUGCCUUUUCUCUUGUUAAUCUGUAUGCUGUCAGUUUAUUCCAGAGACUCAAAUUAUCAAACCUUCAGAAAGUAGGGGGAAGGUUUAAAGUUCCCUUAUAGUUUCAAGAGUAUUAAUCUGGGGGUUACAAAUACACUUUAGUAGGUAA